AGAUACGAUAAAGAUUUAACGAUAGGUCAUUUUUCAAAUACACUAUAUAUUUAAAUAUUCAACUUCAAUAAAGAAAAAAAAAAUAUGCCUGAAAAUAUCAAUCAUUCGGGACCAUUCAUAGGGGCAAUUGAUGAAGGAACGAGUAGCGCUAGAUUCUUAGUGUUUGAUGUAUUACAUAGAAAGGUAUUAGCAUCACAUCAAAUUGAAAUUAAACAAAAAUAUCCACAAGAAGGAUGGGUGGAACAAGAUCCAAAAGAAAUUUUGGAAGCUGUUAUAGAAUGCAUAAAAAAAACAAUAGAAAAGCUAAAAGAUAUUAAUAUAAAUGUAUCAGAUAUCAAAGCAAUUGGAAUCACUAAUCAACGAGAAACUACUUUAAUGUGGGAUAAAAAUACAGGAGAACCAUUACACAAUGCAAUAGUAUGGUUAGAUAUGAGAACUACUACAACUUUGGAAGACAUAUUAGAUAGUGUACCUAAUAAAACAAGAAACAAAAAUUAUUUGAAACCUCUUUGUGGACUUCCAAUGUCACCAUAUUUUAGUGCUCUCAAAAUACGUUGGUUAAUUGAUAACAUACCACGUGUUAAACAUGCAAUAGAUGAAGAGAGAUGUGCUUUUGGAACUAUUGAUACAUGGCUUAUUUGGAAUCUUACCAAAGGACAAUUACAUGUAACUGAUGUUUCAAAUGCAUCUCGUACUAUGUUAAUGAAUAUUGAAUCAUUAAAAUGGGAUCCUCUGUUAUGUCGAUUUUUUGGAAUUCCACAGCAUAUUCUACCUGAAAUAAGAUCUAGUGCUGAAGUAUAUACAACAAUUUCAAAUCCAGAAGUUCUUGCUGGUUGUGUAGGUGAUCAACAGGGAGCACUUCUUGGUCAAUUGUGCUUAAAACCUGGACAAGCAAAAGCUACUUAUGGAACUGGUUGUUUCUUACUUUACAAUACUGGAAGUAUUAAAGUAGAUUCAACACAAGGUCUUAUAACAACUAUUGCAUAUAAAAUAGGUAAAAACUCAGCAACUUAUGCAUUGGAAGGCUCAGUGGCUGUAGCUGGUGCAGCUUUAUCAUGGUUACGUGAUAAUAUACAACUAUUUAAUAGUAUAACACAAUCUCAAGACAUGGCAGAACAUGUAAGAUCUUCAGGAGAUGUAUAUUUUGUACCUGCAUUCUCAGGUUUAUAUGCACCAUAUUGGCAACAAGAUGCACGAGGAGUAAUUUGUGGUAUUACUGAAGAUACACAACAGUAUCAUAUCAUUCGCGCAGCAUUAGAAGCUGUUUGCUUUCAGACAAGAGAUAUUUUAGAAGCCAUGGUUAAAGAUUCUGGAACAAAAUUAACAACUUUACAAGUUGAUGGUGGAAUGACAGUAAACAAUUUACUUAUGCAAUUACAAGCUGAUCUCACAGGAAUAAAUGUUGUACGACCCAAUAUGGUAGAAACAACAGCAUUGGGAGCAGCUAUAUUAGCUGGUGUUGGAGUCGGUCUUAUCGACAUAAAUGAUGUAGAUGCAUCUCAAGUUACGAAAUUUUCACCCUCUAUUGAAGAAGAUGAAAGAGAUUUGAGAUAUUCUAAAUGGAAAAUGGCUGUUGAAAGAUCCAUGAAAUGGGAUUGUUCUACUACUUUAAUGAAUAAUUAAAAUUUUCAAAAUAUCCCUGUAAAUAAUAGGAAUGAUAAUAAAGAAUUAAAUAAAAAAAGAUUAAAACAAAAAUAAAAAUAUAUAAACAAUGAACAAUCUUGCUCAAAUGAAUGCAUAUAUAAAGAUUGAAUAUUGUGAAUUUAAUAUAAUAGAAAUUUUUCCAGGUGUUCCGAAUUGAGGUUUCUUUGGAAUUCCAUAUUGUCGUAAUCCAUAAUUGCGUGUUUUAAAUAUUUUUUUUUUCGGCAAGAAAUUGUCUUUAUCCUAUUUAUGCAAAAUA